rnacentral:tRNA from 1 species
GGCCGCGUAGCUCAGUUGGUUAGAGCGCCGCCCUGUCACGGCGGAGGUCACCAGUUCAAGUCUGGCCGUGGUCGCUA